rnacentral:rRNA from 1 species
AGAUUAAACUAAAGAGUUUGAUCCUGGCUCAGAUUGAACGCUGGCGGCAUGCCUUACACAUGCAAGUCGAACGGCAGCACGGAGCUUGCUCUGGUGGCGAGUGGCGAACGGGUGAGUAAUAUAUCGGAACGUACCCAGGAGUGGGGGAUAACGUAGCGAAAGUUACGCUAAUACCGCAUACGUCCUAAGGGAGAAAGUGGGGGAUCGCAAGACCUCAUGCUCGUGGAGCGGCCGAUAUCUGAUUAGCUAGUUGGUGGGGUAAAGGCCUACCAAGGCAUCGAUCAGUAGCUGGUCUGAGAGGACGACCAGCCACACUGGAACUGAGACACGGUCCAGACUCCUACGGGAGG